GACGGAGGAUGCAAGCGUUAUCCGGAAUGAUUGGGCGUAAAGCGUCCGCAGGUGGCAGUUCAAGUCUGCUGUCAAAGACCGGGGCUUAACUUCGGAAAGGCAGUGGAAACUGAACAGCUAGAGUAUGGUAGGGGCAGAGGGAAUUCCUGGUGUAGCGGUGAAAUGCGUAGAUAUCAGGAAGAACACCGAUGGCGAAGGCAGAUCUCUGGGCCGUAACUGACGCUGAGGAGCGAAAGCAUGGGGAGCAAACAGG
rnacentral:rRNA from 1 species